CAACACAAUCACAACUGAACCAAUCCACCUGACAGUUAGCAAUUGGACGUUGUACAGUACAAAGUGACCCAGCAGUUGAAUGUUGUUUUACAUCAAUUUAUUUGGACAAACAUUGAUGUGCAGCAAACGUAAAGGACAGUUUAACAAUAGGACUAAAACAUUUUUGACAAGAAACAGACAACUAUAAACCCCCUGAAGAAGGCCUCAAAAUAAAGGCCGAAACGUCGGUGAAGUAGAGAAAAUCUGUUUUUCUUUUUCGACAAGACUGCUCGCCAAAACCAGAAAGAUUCAAAAAUGUGGUUAAGUUUUCUUUGUAAAUAUUAUGACAGUUCGGGCAAUCAAGGUAAAGUAAUAACGGUGGGAUUUCGUCAAUAUAUUGACGAAAUAUCAAUACUUUAACCGUUUAUGUUAAUGUACUGAUAGUGUAUUGACGACUUUGUCCGCCCCCUUACGAAAAAAAAGUUUUAAAAAAGUUGGUCGUCAUCGAUCAUGGCCGUU